UUGUCCGUGACCCCUUAGUGAGCUAGGAGACGGGUCAAGCUGUUCUUCUUACCUGUUUAAAUAAAUCCCUCAUAAUGUUUAUUUAAAAUUUUGGCCGAACCACUGAGAGAAUCCAUCCGCGCCGUCAACGUCAACAGGCGCAGUUGGUUUUCGCGCCACAGAGGAGGCAACGCGGAAGUCGCGGCGACGUUAGCUAAACAGCUAACUUAAACCCAAAGUUACCUGGCUGGGUGUGUCCGGUUUCUGCGAGAUUAAAGAAAAUGGAUAAGACCACACAUGAAGAUAUCAGUGUGCAAACAGGGAGAGCGCUCACUUCACCACCCUCCCCAAAACGGCCAAGGACUGACUGCACGGUGACAGACAACAACAGUGCAGAGACAAGGUUUGACUUUCCUGACCUUUGGACAUUUCGAAAAACCGUUGGCUCCGCAGCAUCUCUGCACAAGAACGUGGUUCUAAUAUGCUCAGUGGAAAGUGGGGAUGGCCGAGAUGAGAAACUCCACGAGCAACCACAACACACCAAAUUAAUUGUCACUCCUAUUACCAAGGCGACCGCUUCACACACUGACGAUGCACACGCAGGACUGUCUGAAGUCUGUCUUAUCACUGCUGAGAGACACCUCCUACAUCUGGGGAAAGAUGAGCAGCCUCCACUUACUAAAACUGACAAGCUCAGCUCAUACCCGCGAGAUGAUGCAGGUGGGGCAUUGGCAGAGUCUGACACUUCCAAAGACACCAGCGCCGACACGUCCAGCCAUCCUGAUUGCAGACGGCUGGGGAAAUCACUCGAACAUGAACACCCUGGUGGUUGCUGCCUUCCCGCAGGAAACGACAUAGAUGGUAGACAGGUGCAAAAUAAUGUCAUUCAAAUCCAGGCAUUUAACCUCAGUUCAAGGGCUGAAGUGGUCAGAUGUCAGUCUGAUUGCACUCAUGAAGAUGCUCUAUGCAACGCUGGUUUCCGUAAUGCGAGGAGUGAAUCUGCUGAAGUCAAAGCAUGUAAUCAGAAAAAGAACAAGCUUGUAUUUGGUGAGAAUAUAAUGUUCAUCAAGGAGGAGGCUAACAGUCACACAUCUCUCAGUGAUUGUGCAGACUCCAAAUCAGUUUAUUCAAACCCUGAAGAACAACCCUCUGGGAACUUUGCACACGCUGUAAAAACGGAGGAAAAAAUAUCAGAAAAUGUUGCCGCCUGUGAAAGAGAAACAAAAGGCCACGUUAAUGAGACCGGUAUGAGAAAAAGCCUGAUCCAUUCUGUUGCUGAAUGUGCUCAAGGCUCGAUCGUUGCUUAUGAUAUGGUAUUAGCCAGAAAUAUUACGGCUGAGAAAGUGAGUUUUGAGGUUGAUGACUUCUGUGUGGUAAAAGGCAAGCGCGCCGCUGGCGAGAUGAUCGCCAGAGCUCGGAGUGAUGCGGCUGAUCACACAACAGAGACUCCAAUGCCUGCAAGAAUCAGCCGAGAGCCCACUGAAGGAGAUAACGAUCCGGGCGCUUUCAGUGUAAUUGACCCCGCAAUAUGGAGUGAAGCUGACAUGGAGGCUGAAGUGAAACGCUGUAACUCAGAGAGCACUGCAGCUGUAGAAAGAUCUCCAUCAGUAAAAGUCUGUGGGACGGACACGCAGGAGGUUUCAGCUCACGACCAGACUGGGCAGCGUAAUCACCAAAGCACACCACGGAAGCCUGAAGAAAAAGAAGACUUAACUCAGUCAUACACGGAACCGCAGGCUGUCUCCAUCCCCAUCAACCAAACACACAACACAAGUGGCAAUGAAAGCUGGAAAUCCAGUCCCAGCAGCAGUCCACACAGACACACAAAGCCUCCUCCUGCUGUGGACGGAAGACAUGAGAGUCAUAGGUCUGUGAGACAUCAGGUGAAAGAGUUAAUUCCCGUCAUUCUUGACGACCUGGUUGAAUAUUCACAGACUGGAUUUGCCAGAAUGGACAGGGCCCCUGAGGUAAAAGAAAGAGAAGACAUGCUGAGUUGCGUAGGACAAAUAAAAACAGAUGAAUAUUGGAACUCAGAGAAAUCAAUGGAGUCAUGGGAAGAACUUCUGCAACAAAAUCGAAAAGACAAAAUCAACACAAAGAAAAUAUCAGCUGGGGAUUGCAUCAGUGACCCGACAGAGGGAGAAGUCGGUGAAUAUGACAACAGGUCAACACUUGUGGAAGAUGAAGAGACAGCUGAAGACGGGGAAAGAAAAGAGGUGAUUGACGUUGGAGAAGGAAAUAAAACUGAGGUUCAAGGAAAGUCAGAGAUAUUGGUGAGAACAGCGGAUAAACUGCAGCAAGGAAACAAACACAAAAGAGACAUGACUGAAGUGUCACAUGUUGAAUGUGUCAGUGAACGGACGGAGGGUGUCGUGAGUAAAAGUGAAAACACAUUAAGCCAAGUUAGUCAACACGAACACGGAAAUAAGCUCAGUUGUUUCCCUGCUGAGACAUUAAUGGUUGAAAACAAAGAUGACCUUGCGUUCUUCCCUCUCGCUCCAACAAGUGAUGCAGUUGUGCCCUGCAAGCACGAUUUAAACCAUUCAAGAAAUGCACACAGCAACCCCACAGCCCUAAACUGUAAUGACAGAUUUUCCCCAGUGCCAUCUGUCUUCACUUUCUAUGACCGGGCGCCUAGGGGCUUUGACACUUUCGAAAAGAUCCAGCUCUCACCAGACGACGAUGGUGACGAUGGUGAUGCUGCUGCCGGCCUGGGCAACAGCCCUCUCCUUACCAGCUCACCCGGGCAGCUGUUGGAAACAUCCCAGCGACAACUUUCCCGCUCUAUGCCAGCGACAGGGGAGAUACCAGGAGAGGAGGGAGGGGGCAAGGAGGAGGUGCAAAGAAUUCAGCGAUGCAUCGAUUACAAAAAAGUUUUAAGCAGUGACUCCACUUGUAAUGAACUCCUAAACUUGAUCUCAGAGGCAGACAUUGUUGAUAUUGCAGAUGUUAUUGCUCUUGGAUGUUCAGAGCAACUGUUUGGCUGUGACUUGGCCUGUGCUUCCGCCGUGCACAUCCAGGAUGAAUUUAACCCUCAGUCAAAGUCCUCCACUGUUUCCACCGAGAGCGACAGUCCGUCUGAUGCGAACAUGUGCCCUGAGUUUCAGAUGAAAGAACACUUCGACAUGGUGUUGAAAGAGCUGAACCUGUUUUUUGAAAUUAGCAUAAAUGAUUUUGCGAGCGACAGCAAAGCGCCGACACCAGAGCAGUGUAGUGACACAGCUGAAGCAUCAGAGGGCGACGUCUCAAACUGCAAAGAACAUCUCAGUAGCCCACAGCUGGGAGGCCACAGAGACACAUCAUCAGAGUCUCUGUCGCAGUGACAACAAGACCCCAGGAAGUCACUGAGCCGGACCAAAAUAUUCCAAUGAUGCCGAUGAAGACUCCACCUUGGAAAUGUCUGAAGGUGAUCCAGGGGUUUCUUGUACCAGUGGCAGCCGCGACGGCGAGCAAGAGGUGCCCCUCUGCAGCCAGGAGACGUCGGUGUGCGCCGCAGAGAAACACAGAGAGCCGUGGGGGAUGGAGCAGAGAAGCGAAAUGUGGUCUCCAUCCUUCAUGUCUCCACCAUUCUUAGAGCAACUGAGCUACAGACCCCCGGAGAAGCACAAGAGACUGGAGCCUCUGAGAACGUGCACACGACCAAUCCAGGUCGGACUUUCAAAGAGAGCCAAGACCAAACACCUGCACCGCCCCCACCCCUACAAGUGAACGUCGGGAAGGCAAUUAAAGGUGAUGCAUGCAUGAAUGUUAACGAAGCCUCCCCCUCGCUGCCAUGUUCAACAUCUCAUUUUCUGAUGUACAGUAUAUUGUUGUCUCAUGUUUUGUGAGUGGUUUCCUGUACAUCUAUCGCAACCUUACCUCGGGAAGGUUUACCCCACAAAAUGUGCUGUUUCACGUUUGCAGAUUUAAAUGCAGCAUGCCAUAUAGUGUGCUGCUGUUGGAGGAGUAAGUGCCUAAUCCAGGGACGCCUUGACAAUCUCUCCACAUAUCUCCAUCUGAAAUAAUAUGUUGAUUUUUAACAUUUUUCCCAAUAUUUAUGUAUUUAUCUAUCCAUUUAUUUAUUUAGUACGUUUCCCCCGAUACAUUCCCAUGGGUUUAAUUCCUAUACAAAAAAAAUCAGUUUAUAUACCACUAUUUACAUACAAUUAUUAUUUACACAACAGUGUCGUUGUGUAAAUAAUAAUGCUUUCACCAUUAUAUUCAGGUUUGUCGUAUGUAAUUGGUUCUCGUGUGUUUCGUUGUCGGCGGGUAGAUACAUUACGCUCCUGGUUCCCGUGAUGUGUGGGUGUAAUCAGUCGUGUUCUGUUACUGUAUCAUUACAUGGGUUCACAUGUAGUGGAUGCAGCACAUCCCUUCAGCAGUUCUGUGGGAGGUUGGCUGAUAUUGAAUUUCACAAUGCCGUGUUUGCCCUGAGAAUUAAAUAAUAUAACUGUAUAUACAAUGUGUUUUUCAUGUAUACAGUAUAUACAGUACGUGACUGUAUCCUGAGCAAAACAUAAAUCUAUACUCAUAACAGGGAGCAUGUUCUCUCUCUUUUGAUUUCGUUUCCGAAAAGCAACGAGUGUUUGGUCCACAGAAGAUAUACCUUCUAACUCAUAAAUAAAUUCACUCUUAUUCUACAAACUGUGCAGCUCAAUGCUGUUGUGGUUUCAUCAUAAAAGACAAAACAUAUACAAUUUGAGCAACUUCCCGCCACAACAGAAGCACACUGAAUUUAUUUCAACAUGGAGUCAGUUCUUGUGUUAGCUUGAGGCAGUGGAAGUGACAUUUCCUGAAUGUUAAGUGAAUCAGUUUCUUUUUAUUCUUGAGUCGAACUGUGUUUUCUAGACUACGGAGGGCAGGUUGGUAACAUUUAAUGCAGUGCUGUUCCACAUUGUUCAGACAGAAGUUAGAAUAGAAUUAAGGACAGUUUGCAUUAGUCUUCAGUCACCAGUGGCUUGUUUGCUUAACGUGCCCAUUGUGCUGUUUUGUGAUCUUAAUUUUCUUCAUUGCUUUGAAUUCCUCUUCAUGAAUGAAAAAGUAUAAACUACACAUUUUGUCAUAAA